rnacentral:tRNA from 1 species
GCCUGGAUGGCCCAGUCAGUUGGGCAUCUGACUUUGGCUCAGGUCAUGAUCUUGCGGUUCAUGGGUUCAAGCCCUGUGUCGGGCU